GACGAACGCUGGCGGCGUGCUUAACACAUGCAAGUCGAACGGAAAGGCCCUGCUUUUGUGGGGUGCUCGAGUGGCGAACGGGUGAGUAACACGUGAGUAACCUGCCCUUGACUUUGGGAUAACUUCAGGAAACUGGGGCUAAUACCGGAUAGGAGCUCCUGCUGCAUGGUGGGGGUUGGAAAGUUUCGGCGGUUGGGGAUGGACUCGCGGCUUAUCAGCUUGUUGGUGGGGUAGUGGCUUACCAAGGCUUUGACGGGUCGCCGGCCUGAGAGGGUGACCGGCCACAUUGGGACUGAGAUACGGCCCAGACUCCUACGGGAGGCAGCAGUGGGGAAAAUUGCACAAUGGGCGGAAGCCUGAUGCAGCAACGCCGCGUGCGGGAUGACGGCCUUCGGGUUGUAAACCGCUUUCGCCUGUGACGAAGCGUGAGUGACGGUAAUGGGUAAAGAAGCACCGGCUAACUACGUG
rnacentral:rRNA from 1 species